rfam:Listeria monocytogenes EGD-e, complete genome
CUCUUAUCGAGAGCGGCAGAGGGACUGGCCCGAUGAAGCCCGGCAACCUAACUUUAUUUAAGCAUAAAGUGAAGGUGCUAAUUCCAGCAAAAUGGUGUAUUCCGUUUUGGUAGAUAAGAG